AGAGUUUGAUCCUGGCUCAGGAUGAACGCAAGCUACAGGCUUAACACAUGCAAGUCGAGGGGCAGCAUGGUCUUAGCUUGCUAAGGCCGACGGCGACCGGCGCACGGGUGAGUAACACGUAUCCAACCUGCCGUCUACUCUUGGACAGCCUUCUGAAAGGAAGAUUAAUACAAGAUGGCAUCAUGAGUCCGCAUGUUCACAUGAUUAAAGGUAUUCCGGUAGACGAUGGGGAUGCGUUCCAUUAGAUAGUAGGCGGGGUAACGGCCCACCUAGUCUUCGAUGGAUAGGGGUUCUGAGAGGAAGGUCCCCCACAUUGGAACUGAGACACGGUCCAAACUCCUACGGGAGGCAGCAGUGAGGAAUAUUGGUCAAUGGGCGAGAGCCUGAACCAGCCAAGUAGCGUGAAGGAUGACUGCCCUAUGGGUUGUAAACUUCUUUUAUAAAGGAAUAAAGUCGGGUAUGCAUACCCGUUUGCAUGUACUUUAUGAAUAAGGAUCGGCUAACUCCGUGCCAGCAGCCGCGGUAAUACGGAGGAUCCGAGCGUUAUCCGGAUUUAUUGGGUUUAAAGGGAGCGUAGAUGGAUGUUUAAGUCAGUUGUGAAAGUUUGCGGCUCAACCGUAAAAUUGCAGUUGAUACUGGAUAUCUUGAGUGCAGUUGAGGCAGGCGGAAUUUGUGGUGUAGCGGUGAAAUGCUUAGAUAUCACGAAGAACUCCGAUUGCGAAGGCAGCCUGCUAAGCUGCAACUGACAUUGAGGCUCGAAAGUGUGGGUAUCAAACAGGAUUAGAUACCCUGGUAGUCCACACGGUAAACGAUGAAUACUCGCUGUUUGCGAUAUACAGCAAGCGGCCAAGCGAAAGCGUUAAGUAUUCCACCUGGGGAGUACGCCGGCAACGGUGAAACUCAAAGGAAUUGACGGGGGCCCGCACAAGCGGAGGAACAUGUGGUUUAAUUCGAUGAUACGCGAGGAACCUUACCCGGGCUUAAAUUGCAGAUGAAUUACGGUGAAAGCCGUAAGCCGCAAGGCAUCUGUGAAGGUGCUGCAUGGUUGUCGUCAGCUCGUGCCGUGAGGUGUCGGCUUAAGUGCCAUAACGAGCGCAACCCUUGUUGUCAGUUACUAACAGGUCAUGCUGAGGACUCUGACAAGACUGCCAUCGUAAGAUGUGAGGAAGGUGGGGAUGACGUCAAAUCAGCACGGCCCUUACGUCCGGGGCUACACACGUGUUACAAUGGGGGGUACAGAGGGCCGCUACCACGCGAGUGGAUGCCAAUCCCAAAAACCUCUCUCAGUUCGGACUGGAGUCUGCAACCCGACUCCACGAAGCUGGAUUCGCUAGUAAUCGCGCAUCAGCCACGGCGCGGUGAAUACGUUCCCGGGCCUUGUACACACCGCCCGUCAAGCCAUGGGAGCCGGGGGUACCUGAAGUGCGUAACCGCGAGGAGCGCCCUAGGGUAAAACUGGUGACUGGGGCUAAGUCGUAACAAGGUA
rnacentral:rRNA from 1 species